GUGUCAGCCGCCGCGGUAAUACAGAGGGUGCAAGCGUUAAUCGGAAUUACUGGGCGUAAAGCGAACGUAGGCGGUUAUCUAAGUCGGAUGUGAAAUCCCCGGGCUCAACCUGGGAAUUGCAUUCGAGACUGAAUAGCUAGAAUGCGGUAGAGGGAAGCGGAAUUUCCGGUGUAGCGGUGAAAUGCGUAGAUAUCGGAAGGAACAUCAGUGGCGAAAGCGGCUUCCUGGUCCAGCAUUGACGCUCAGGUUCGAAAGCGUGGGGAGCAAACAGGAUUAGAUACCCUGGUAGUCCACGCCAUAAACGAUGAGGACUAGACGUUGAGAGGGUUAGCCUCCCAGUGUCGUAGCUAACGCGCUAAGUCCUCCGCCUGGGGAGUACGGCCGCAAGGUUGAA
rnacentral:rRNA from 1 species